rnacentral:misc_RNA from 1 species
AACCUAGCACACCUGCGGUGUGUACCUGCGGAGGGAUCAUAACUGGUUAAACUUUAUAAACACCAGAGUUUCAAACUCUGUGUUUGCAAACAAAAAAACACCCUUCAAAACAGCUAUUCAGUGUCUGAAUUAACUAGUUUAAUAUAAAAACAACUUUUAACAAUGGAUCU